UCCCUGGUAGUAUAUCGGUUAGUACACGCGCCUGUCAUGCUCUCUCCAGAGCAAAGACCGCGCGAAAGCGGGGUUCGACUCCCCGCCAGGGAG